AGUGAACGCUGGCGGUAGGCCUAACACAUGCAAGUCGAACGGCAGCACAGUAAGAGCUUGCUCUUACGGGUGGCGAGUGGCGGACGGGUGAGGAAUACAUCGGAAUCUACUUUUUCGUGGGGGAUAACGUAGGGAAACUUACGCUAAUACCGCAUACGACCUACGGGUGAAAGCAGGGGAUCUUCGGACCUUGCGCGAUUGAAUGAGCCGAUGUCGGAUUAGCUAGUUGGCGGGGUAAAGGCCCACCAAGGCGACGAUCCGUAGCUGGUCUGAGAGGAUGAUCAGCCACACUGGAACUGAGACACGGUCCAGACUCCUACGGGAGGCAGCAGUGGGGAAUAUUGGACAAUGGGCGCAAGCCUGAUCCAGCCAUACCGCGUGGGUGAAGAAGGCCUUCGGGUUGUAAAGCCCUUUCGUUGGGAAAGAAAAGCAGCAGGUUAAUACCCCGCUGUUCUGACGGUACCCAAAGAAUAAGCACCGGCUAACUUCGU
rnacentral:rRNA from 1 species